rnacentral:rRNA from 1 species
CAUAGGUUAAUGAGGCGAACCGGGGGAACUGAAACAUCUAAGUACCCCGAGGAAAAGAAAUCAACCGAGAUUCCCCCAGUAGCGGCGAGCGAACGGGGAGCAGCCCAGAGCCUGAAUCAGUAUGUGUGUUAGUGGAAGCGUCUGGAAAGGCGCGCGAUACAGGGUGACAGCCCCGUACACAAAAAUGCACAUGCUGUGAGCUCGAUGAGUAGGGCGGGACACGUGGUAUCCUGUCUGAAUAUGGGGGGACCAUCCUCCAAGGCUAAAUACUCCUGACUGACCGAUAGUGAACCAGUACCGUGAGGGAAAGGCGAAAAGAACCCCGGCGAGGGGAGUGAAAAAGAACCUGAAACCGUGUACGUACAAGCAGUGGGAGCACGCUUAGGCGUGUGACUGCGUACCUUUUGUAUAAUGGGUCAGCGACUUAUAUUCUGUAGCAAGGUUAACCGAAUAGGGGAGCCGAAGGGAAACCGAGUCUUAACUGGGCGUUAAGUUGCAGGGUAUAGACCCGAAACCCGGUGAUCUAGCCAUGGGCAGGUUGAAGGUUGGGUAACACUAACUGGAGGACCGAACCGACUAAUGUUGAAAAAUUAGCGGAUGACUUGUGGCUGGGGGUGAAAGGCCAAUCAAACCGGGAGAUAGCUGGUUCUCCCCGAAAGCUAUUUAGGUAGCGCCUCGUGAAUUCAUCUCCGGGGGUAGAGCACUGUUUCGGCAAGGGGGUCAUCCCGACUUACCAACCCGAUGCAAACUGCGAAUACCGGAGAAUGUUAUCACGGGAGACACACGGCGGGUGCUAACGUCCGUCGUGAAGAGGGAAACAACCCAGACCGCCAGCUAAGGUCCCAAAGUCAUGGUUAAGUGGGAAACGAUGUGGGAAGGCCCAGACAGCCAGGAUGUUGGCUUAGAAGCAGCCAUCAUUUAAAGAAAGCGUAAUAGCUCACUGGUCGAGUCGGCCUGCGCGGAAGAUGUAACGGGGCUAAACCAUGCACCGAAGCUGCGGCAGCGACGCUGAUGCGUUGUUGGGUAGGGGAGCGUUCUGUAAGCCUGCGAAGGUGUGCUGUGAGGCAUGCUGGAGGUAUCAGAAGUGCGAAUGCUGACAUAAGUAACGAUAAAGCGGGUGAAAAGCCCGCUCGCCGGAAGACCAAGGGUUCCUGUCCAACGUUAAUCGGGGCAGGGUGAGUCGACCCCUAAGGCGAGGCCGAAAGGCGUAGUCGAUGGGAAACAGGUUAAUAUUCCUGUACUUGGUGUUACUGCGAAGGGGGGACGGAGAAGGCUAUGUUGGCCGGGCGACGGUUGUCCCGGUUUAAGCGUGUAGGCUGGUUUUCCAGGCAAAUCCGGAAAAUCAAGGCUGAGGCGUGAUGACGAGGCACUGCGGUGCUGAAGCAACAAAUGCCCUGCUUCCAGGAAAAGCCUCUAAGCAUCAGGUAACAUCAAAUCGUACCCCAAACCGACACAGGUGGUCAGGUAGAGAAUACCAAGGCGCUUGAGAGAACUCGGGUGAAGGAACUAGGCAAAAUGGUGCCGUAACUUCGGGAGAAGGCACGCUGAUAUGUAGGUGAAGUCCCUCGCGGAUGGAGCUGAAAUCAGUCGAAGAUACCAGCUGGCUGCAACUGUUUAUUAAAAACACAGCACUGUGCAAACACGAAAGUGGACGUAUACGGUGUGACGCCUGCCCGGUGCCGGAAGGUUAAUUGAUGGGGU